GACGAACGCUGGCGGCGUGCUUAACACAUGCAAGUCGCGCGAGAAAGAGGGUUCGCCCUUGAGUACAGCGGCGGACGGGUGAGUAACACGUAGGUAACCUGCCCUUUAGUGGGGGACAACGGUCCGAAAGGACCGCUAAUACCGCAUAAGUUCUUCGGAGCUCCGGCUCUGGGGAGGAAGGCCUCGCAAGGGGCGCUGAAGGAGGGGCCUGCGUCGCAUCAGCUAGUUGGUGGGGUAACGGCCUACCAAGGCGAAGACGCGUAGCUGGUCUGAGAGGAUGAUCAGCCACACUGGGACUGAGACACGGCCCAGACUCCUACGGGAGGCAGCAGUGGGGAAUAUUGGACAAUGGGGGCAACCCUGAUCCAGCCACGCCGCGUGAGUGAUGAAGGCCUCGGUCGUAAG
rnacentral:rRNA from 1 species